rnacentral:rRNA from 1 species
AAUGACUCUCAGCAACGGAUAUCUUGGCUCUUGCAACGAUGAAGAACGCAGCGAAAUGCGAUACCUAGUGUGAAUUGCAGAAUUCCGCGAAUCAUCGAGUUUUUGAACGCAAGUUGCGCCCGAGGCUCGUCCCGAGGGCAUGCCCGCCUGAGCGUCCGCUCUAACCCACC